rnacentral:rRNA from 1 species
GACGUAGGGCGCGAGCGUUGUCCGGAUUUAUUGGGCGUAAAGAGCUUGUAGGCGGUUUGUCGCGUCUGCUGUGAAAUUUCGGGGCUCAACCCCGAACUUGCAGUGGGUACGGGCAGACUAGAGUGUGGUAGGGGGAGACUGGAAUUCCUGGUGUAGCGGUGGAAUGCGCAGAUAUCAGGAGGAACACCGGUGGCGAAGGCGGGUCUCUGGGCAGUAACUGACGCUGAGGAGCGAAAAGCGUGGGGAGCGAACAGG